ACAUUCCUUAUCCAUUAGACCUAAACAUUGGUCUGAGUGGCUAUAAAAGCAAUAAAUAUGAAAGUGAAAUAAUUUGGAUUCAUCUGUGAUUUAGAAGUUAGUUUCAAACAAAC
rnacentral:snoRNA from 1 species